rnacentral:tRNA from 1 species
ACCUUUUUAGUAUAAAUAGUACAAUUGACUUCCAAUCAAACAGCUUGGUUCACCCAAAAAAGGUA